rnacentral:rRNA from 1 species
UACAGGGGGUGCAAACGUUGUUCGGAAUCACUGGGCGUAAAGGGCGUGUAGGCGGUCCGCUAAGUCUGAUGUGAAAGCCCGGGGCUCACCCCCGGAAGGGCAUUGGAAACUGACGGACUCGAGUCCCGAAGAGGAGGGUGGAAUUCCUGGUGUAGCGGUGAAAUGCGUAGAUAUCAGGAGGAACACCGGUGGCGAAGGCGGCCCUCUGGACGGUGACUGACGCUGAGACGCGAAAGCGUGGGGAGCAAACAGG